rnacentral:rRNA from 1 species
ACAAAGAAGAGUUUGAUCCUGGCUCAGGAUGAACGCUAGCGAUAGGCCUAACACAUGCAAGUCGAGGGGCAGCAUGGCGGUAGCAAUACUGCCGAUGGCGACCGGCGCACGGGUGAGUAACGCGUAUGCAACCUACCUACCACAGGGGGAUAGCCCGUUGAAAGACGGAUUAAUACCGCAUAAUACAGGGAUUCCGCAUGGAAAUAUUUGUUAAAGAUUUAUCGGUGGUAGAUGGGCAUGCGUUCCAUUAGUUAGUUGGUGAGGUAACGGCUCACCAAGGCAGCGAUGGAUAGGGGAACUGAGAGGUUUAUCCCCCACACUGGUACUGAGACACGGACCAGACUCCUACGGGAGGCAGCAGUGAGGAAUAUUGGUCAA